AGAGUUUGAUCCUGGCUCAGGAUGAACGCUAGCGGCAGGCUUAACACAUGCAAGUCGAGGGGCAGCAUAAUGGAUAGCAAUAUCUAUGGUGGCGACCGGCGCACGGGUGCGUAAUGCGUAUGCAACCUACCUUUAACAGGGGGAUAACACUGAGAAAUUGGUACUAAUACCCCAUAAUAUCAUAGAAGGCAUCUUUUAUGGUUGAAAAUUCCGAUGGUUAGAGAUGGGCAUGCGUUGUAUUAGCUAGUUGGUGGGGUAACGGCUCACCAAGGCGACGAUACAUAGGGGGACUGAGAGGUUAACCCCCCACACUGGUACUGAGACACGGACCAGACUCCUACGGGAGGCAGCAGUGAGGAAUAUUGGUCAAUGGACGCAAGUCUGAACCAGCCAUGCCGCGUGCAGGAUGACGGCUCUAUGAGUUGUAAACUGCUUUUGUACGAGGGUAAACGCAGAUACGUGUAUCUGUCUGAAAGUAUCGUACGAAUAAGGAUCGGCUAACUACGUGCCAGCAGCCGCGGUAAUACGUAGGUGGCAAGCGUUGUCCGGAUUUACUGGGUGUAAAGGGCGUGCAGCCGGGCAUGCAAGUCAGAUGUGAAAUCUCAGGGCUUAACCCUGAAACUGCAUUUGAAACUGUAUGUCUUGAGUGCCGGAGAGGUAAUCGGAAUUCCUUGUGUAGCGGUGAAAUGCGUAGAUAUAAGGAAGAACACCAGUGGCGAAGGCGGAUUACUGGACGGUAACUGACGGUGAGGCGCGAAAGCGUGGGGAGCGAACAGGAUUAGAUACCCUGGUAGUCCACACAGUAAACGAUGAAUACUCGCUGUUGGCGAUACACAGUCAGCGGCCAAGCGAAAGCAUUAAGUAUUCCACCUGGGGAGUACGCCGGCAACGGUGAAACUCAAAGGAAUUGACGGGGGCCCGCACAAGCGGAGGAACAUGUGGUUUAAUUCGAUGAUACGCGAGGAACCUUACCCGGGCUUAAAUUGCAGCGGAAUGUAGUGGAAACAUUACAGCCUUCGGGCCGCUGUGAAGGUGCUGCAUGGUUGUCGUCAGCUCGUGCCGUGAGGUGUCGGCUUAAGUGCCAUAACGAGCGCAACCCUUAUCUAUAGUUACUAUCAGGUCAUGCUGAGGACUCUAUGGAGACUGCCGUCGUAAGAUGUGAGGAAGGUGGGGAUGACGUCAAAUCAGCACGGCCCUUACGUCCGGGGCUACACACGUGUUACAAUGGGGGGUACAGAAGGCAGCUACCUGGCGACAGGAUGCUAAUCCCUAAAACCUCUCUCAGUUCGGAUUGGAGUCUGCAACCCGACUCCAUGAAGCUGGAUUCGCUAGUAAUCGCGCAUCAGCCACGGCGCGGUGAAUACGUUCCCGGGCCUUGCACUCACCGCCCGUCAAG
rnacentral:rRNA from 1 species